rnacentral:rRNA from 1 species
GAGUUUGAUCCUGGCUCAGAUUGAACGCUGGCGGCAGGCCUAACACAUGCAAGUCGAGCGGAAACGAGUUAACUGAACCUUCGGGGAACGUUAACGGCGUCGAGCGGCGGACGGGUGAGUAAUGCCUGGGAAAUUGCCCUGAUGUGGGGGAUAACCAUUGGAAACGAUGGCUAAUACCGCAUAAUAGCUUCGGCUCAAAGAGGGGGACCUUCGGGCCUCUCGCGUCAGGAUAUGCCCAGGUGGGAUUAGCUAGUUGGUGAGGUAAUGGCUCACCAAGGCGACGAUCCCUAGCUGGUCUGAGAGGAUGAUCAGCCACACUGGAACUGAGACACGGUCCAGACUCCUACGGGAGGCAGCAGUGGGGAAUAUUGCACAAUGGGCGCAAGCCUGAUGCAGCCAUGCCGCGUGUAUGAAGAAGGCCUUCGGGUUGUAAAGUACUUUCAGCAGUGAGGAAGGUGGGUAUGUUAAUAGCAUACUCAUUUGACGUUAGCUGCAGAAGAAGCACCGGCUAACUCCGUGCCAGCAGCCGCGGUAAUACGGAGGGUGCGAGCGUUAAUCGGAAUUACUGGGCGUUAAAGCGCAUGCAGGUGGUNUGUUAANUCAGAUGUGAAAAGCCCGGGGCUCACUCCUCGGAAUUGCAUUUGAAACUGGAUAACUAUAAUACUGUANAGNGGGGNGUAAAAU